CGCAUUGUUUUGAAACUUGUUCGGUCAAAUUUUAUGGUAAAGAGAAACUUACUGCGAAGAUUUUGAGCAUAUAUAUGAUUGAGUUGGAUGAAAAAUCGCAAAAUUAUCCAGCGAUAAAUGUUCGUGUGAAAUGGUCAGUUGGUCAGUUGGAGCGUUUUAUUGCCAGAAAUACUGUGCUAUGUUAACAUCUAGCCUUGUGAAUGGUGUUUUAUACUUGCAUCUUUCAUCAUCAUCUGCUCUGUCCUCAUAAUUAUGAAAAAUGAACUGUUAUGUACCUCCCCCCCUCCUUGCUUGUUAGAGAAGUAAACUGAUGAGAGCACUGGAUGAGGGUCUAUCAUCUAUGGUCUGUUAUAAUUUGCUUUUUAUGCAAAUAGUGAGCAAAAAUUAAAGCAAAACUGUACAAGUUACAUAUAUAGUACUAUAACAAGUACUAUACACGAACUUUUAUCGAUGGAUAAUUUUGCGAGUUUUCAUCCAAUUCAAUCAUAUAUAUGCUCAAAAUCUUCGCGGUAAGUUUCUCUUUACCAUAAAAUUUGACCGAACAAGUUUCAAAACAAUGCGACGGCAAAAAAUGCAAACAUCCUGAUUUUCGUAAUAGAAU